AUUGAACGCUGGCGGCAGGCCUAACACAUGCAAGUCGAACGAGUUGCGGACGGGUGAGUAAUGUCUGGAAAACUGCCUGAUGGAGGGGGAUAACUACUGGAAACGGUAGCUCAUACCGCCUACCAUCGGAUGUGCCCCGAUGGGAUUAGCUAGUAGGGGGGGUAAAGGCUCACUUAGGCGACGAUCCCCAGCUGGUCUGAGUGGAGUACGAGCCAAGAUGGAACGUAGACACGGUCUAGAACCCUACGGGAGCCAGCAGGGGGGAAGAUUGCACAAUUGGCGCAAGCCGGAUGCAGCCAUGCCUCGUGUAUGAAGAAGGCCUUCGGGUUGUAAAGUACUUUCAGCGGGGAGUCGUUACCCGCAGAAGAAGCACCGGCUAACUCCGUGCCAGCAGCCGCGGUAAUUC
rnacentral:rRNA from 1 species